rnacentral:misc_RNA from 1 species
GAAAUGCGAUAAGUAAUGUGAAUUGCAGAAUUCAGUGAAUCAUUGAAUCUUUGAACGCACAUUGCGCCUCCUGGUAUUCCGGGGGGCAUGCCUGUUCGAGCGUCAUUUCAACCCUCAAGCUCUGCUUGGUAUUGGGCUUUCGCGGGGGAGUGCAUCUCUCUGCGGGCCUUAAAGCUAUCGGCGGUAGUGCCCUGCUUCGAGCGUAGUAAAGUUUAUUCUCUCGCUUUGGAGGCUAGGGUUUUACUUGCCGGGAAAACCGGGCCUCGCGCUCACUUUUUAAGGUUGACCUCGGAUCAGGUAGGGAUACCCGCUGAACUUAAGC